AGAACUAGGCAGGCACUGAAGAGGUUAAGCCAGCCAGCAGCAUCUCAUCAGUGGCCCAAAUAGCUUAAUAGCUCCAUUUUCUGUGUGUUUCCAGUUCUCACCUACUUCCUGAGCAAUUCAUCAGGAGUGGAGGGGCAUGUGCAGGAUCGCCAUGUAACGUGAAUCCUGAUUCCACGUUUGCCUUUUGUGGUCGGCUUUACAAAGUGGAAAUGCUUCCAGUCGGUUUUAUGACCUGCAGCCACCUGCCGGAGGAAGCUUCUGACAACCAGGCUUUCAAAAAGGCAGGAUUGGUUUGUUUGUUUGUCCUGUGGGAUCCUCCUCUCUCCUAUUAAUCUCCAAUCAGCUAAUGGCAUCAAAAGAUCGCCCUGGGUAGGAAGCAAUGUGAUAAAGGACAGGUGAAGGAAGUCAAGGAGAGAAAUGAUGUGGAAGGCUGGAGGGGAGGCUCCCACCCACAGACACAGGGGCCACAGUCGGCCCUGGACACACAGAACACCUUUAAGAAGGCAUAAGAACUGGAAACCUGAAAUUACUUUCUUCUGACAUUGUCUCUUUCUGGAUCUGCUCAGCUGGAAAGCCCAAUGCAGAGCGAUUUGUCUUUGUUCUGACUUCUGUUGUAUUCCAUGUAAAGCCAUCACCCCAGGAGACUCGAAUUUCCUGUGGAUGUUGAUGUGCCCAUAUCUGCAGUGACAAAUCAAUUCAAAGAUACAAAUGCAGUUUUGUUAUAUGCACAUAUUGCCUACUGGUGAAGUCUGUGCUUUCAGGGUACCCAUCACCGGAACAGCAAACAUUGUACCCAAUAGCACUCAGGAGCAUUGCCUUCCACGAGGAGUUUACACCAACUCAGCAGCUCAAGUUCAUGUGUUUGCCAGAGACUUCGGACACCAGAGAAUUGUGCGGAAAGUGACUGGGAUUUCACUGAUAAACAGCAAGUACUUCCACAGGAGUUAUGAAGAAGGAGAAAUUAGGACCACACCAUGCAUAACACUGUACUGUGUACUAUAGACAUUUGACUCCUACCUUCCUACCUGCUGCAAGAGCAUUUCCUUACACUAAAUUUAUGAUAGUUUGUAUAUCCCUAACCCCCCAAAAUAUAAAAAAGAUGUCAUAAAUUGUGGCCAGGUGCAAUGGCUCACAUCUGUAAUCCCAGAACUUGGGAGGCUGAGGCAGGUGGAUCACCUUGAUGUCAGGAGUUCGAGACCAGCCUGGCCAAUAUGGCGAAACCCUAUCUCUACUGAAAAUAUAAAAAUUAGCCAGGUAUGGUGGUGGGCACCUGUAGUCCCAGCUACUCUAGAGGCUGGAGCAGGAGAAUUGCUUGAACCUGGGAGGUGGGAGUUGCAGUGAGCUGAGAUUGUGCCACUGCACUCCAGACUGGGCAACAGAGCAAGACUCCAUCUCAGAAAUAGAUGUCAUAAAUUGCUUAUAUUGUUAGUCAAAGCAUAGAUUUUUUUAAGUUCAACUGAACCAUUUCUCCUGGUUUUUAUUAUUCAAUAAACAAGUUAAACCAACAAUGGUAUUAAAAUAGCAUUAAGAUUCCUAGAACAAAACAAAU
ensembl:lncRNA novel transcript